rnacentral:rRNA from 1 species
AACGUAGGAGACAACCGUUAUCCGGAGUUACUGGGCGUAAAGGGCGUGUAGGUGGUUUCGUAAGUCUGGCGUGAAAUUUUUCGGCUUAACCGGGAAAGGUCGUCGGAUACUGCGGAGCUAGAGGACGGUAGAGGCGUGUGGAAUUCCGGGUGUAGUGGUGAAAUGCGUAGAGAUCCGGAGGAACACCAGUGGCGAAGGCGACACGCUGGGCCGUACCUGACACUGAUGCGCGACAGCAUGGGGAGCAAACAGG